rnacentral:rRNA from 1 species
UGACGGUACCCUACUAGAAAGGAGCCGCUAACUUCGUGCCAGAAGCGUCGGUAAUACGGGGGCUCCAAGCGUUAUCCGGUGUUAUUGGGCGUAAAGAGUCGUGUAGGUGGUUGGGUAAGUUAUCUUUCAAAUAUCUUUGCUUAACAAAGAGGAGGGGGAUAAUACUGCUCGACUAGAAUUUUCUCAAGGGAGAUCGGAACUGAGGGAGGAGUAGUGAAAUGCGUUGAUACCCUCGGGAACACCAGUGGCGUAGGCGGAUCUCUGGGAGAAGAUUGACACUGAGACACGAAAGCUAGGGGAGCGAAGCAGAUUAGAGACCUGCGUAGUCCUAGCCGUAAACGCAUGCUUGCUAGCUGCAUGAAUCUACCUUCGGGUGGUAUCGUGUGGCGAAGGUAACCCGUUAAGCAAGCCGCCUGGAAAGUACGGCCGCAAGGCUGAAAUUCAAAGGAAUUGGCGGGGAGGCACACAACCAGUGGAACAUGUGGUUUAAUUCGAGACUAACCGAAGAACCUCACCAGGGUUUGGCAUGUAGCUGCACGUCUUAAGAAAUUAAGACUCUCUUGAAGGUGCUACACAGGUGCUGCAUGGCUGUCGUCAGCUCGUUCCGUGAGGAGUGCCCUUAAGUGGGACAACGAGCGCAACCCCUAUUACAUGUUAGAAAUGUCAUGUAAGACUGCCUUGCCAUUUGGCGGGGAGGAAGGAGGGGCAGACGUCAAGUCCGCAUGGUCCUUAUGCCCUGGGCUACACACAUGUUACAAUGAGUACGGCAAUGAGUCUGUCGCGAGCACGUAAGUGUAAGCUAAUCUCUUAAAUGUACUCUCAGUGGGGAUUGAGGUCUGCAACUCGACCUCAUGAACACGGAAUUGGUAGUAAUCGCGGGUCAGCUAUACCGCGGUGAUACGUUCUUGCCUCUUGCACACACCGCCCGUCAAACCAGCAAAGUCGAUUGUAUCCGAACCU